rnacentral:tRNA from 2 species
GGUCCCGCGGUCGAAUUGGCUUAGACGCCGGCCUUUCACGCCGGAAGUUGGUGGGUUCGAAUCCCCCCGGGAUCA